AAACGAGAGAAGAAAUUCAAACAUCUGAGGAUGGAGCCCGACAUCAAGGCAGACGCGCAACAGCAGCAGUGGAGGAGGAGGAGGAUGAUGAGGAGGAGGAGGUUCGAGUGGAGUCGUGGUGGCCUCCGGCACUUGACGUCCGUGUCACUGCGUCGUCACCCUGCCAUAUUGCCGUUGACGGGUGAGAGAAUUCAAUCUUUCUGCAUACUGCCCGCCCCCAUCCCCACCGCCCGUCUCGAGCCGGGGGACCGGGGCCCGACUCUGUCCGAGUGUCUGUCCCGAGCCGUGUCACCAUAUGGGGAUACACGGGGAAGAGAUGCAGGCGAGAGAGGAGCAGAGAAAGGAACGGUUGCGCCCAGAGCCCAAGUUCCUCCUACAGAAUGUGGUUGCCCCGGGAACUG